rnacentral:rRNA from 1 species
CCUCGGGUAACUGCAGUGGGGAAUAUUGGACAAUGGGCGAAAGCCUGAUCCAGCCAUGCCGCGUGUGUGAAGAAGGCCUUCGGGUUGUAAAGCACUUUCAGUGGGGAAGAAAGCCUUGGGGCUAAUACCCUCGAGGAAGGACAUCACCCACAGAAGAAGCACCGGCUAACUCCGUGCCAGCAGCCGCGGUAAUACGGAGGGUGCGAGCGUUAAUCGGAAUUACUGGGCGUAAAGCGCGCGUAGGCGGUCUGAUAAGCCGGUUGUGAAAGCCCCGGGCUCAACCUGGGAACGGCAUCCGGAACUGUCAGGCUAGAGUGCAGGAGAGGAAGGUAGAAUUCCCGGUGUAGCGGUGAAAUGCGUAGAGAUCGGGAGGAAUACCAGUGGCGAAGGCGGCCUUCUGGACUGACACUGACGCUGAGGUGCGAAAGCGUGGGUAGCAAACAGGAUUAGAUACCCCAGUAGUC